rnacentral:rRNA from 1 species
CAUGCCCGUGAUGAAUGCCCCGAACACAUCAAAGCAGUUCUUUUGAUAGAAUUGAAGAACAAACCUGAUGAAAAAUCACGCCCAUCCCCCCCAUUCGCGUCGAUCACCUGAAUUUUUGGGCCUCAGAAACGCUGUACUCAAGCACAUAGCGUUCUCAGCUGCUUUCGGCAAUAACCAGGUAAUCAGUUAUCCACAUCUUGGGACUCUUCUUUGAUGAUUGAGAUGAUUGCUUCUUGGU